CCGCACGGGUGAGUAACACGUAUCCAACCUGCCGUCUACUCUUGGCCAGCCCUCUGAAAGGAAGAUUAAUCCAGGAUGGCAUCAUGAGUUCACAUGUCCGCAUGAUUAAAGGUAUUUUCCGGUAGACGAUGGGGAUGCGUUCCAUUAGAUAGUAGGCGGGGUAACGGCCCACCUAGUCAACGAUGGAUAGGGGUUCUGAGAGGAAGGUCCCCCACAUUGGAACUGAGACACGGUCCAA
rnacentral:rRNA from 1 species